rnacentral:rRNA from 1 species
CCUACGGGGGGCUGCAGUGGGGAAUAUUGGACAAUGGGGGCAACCCUGAUCCAGCCAUGCCGCGUGUGUGAAGAAGGCCCUCGGGUUGGAAAGCACUUUCAGUGAGGAAGAACGCCUGGUGGUUAAUACCCAUCAGGAAAGACAUCACUCACAGAAGAAGCACCGGCUAACUCCGUGCCAGCAGCCGCGGUAAUACGGAGGGUGCGAGCGUUAAUCGGAAUUACUGGGCGUAAAGCGCGCGUAGGUGGCUUGAUAAGCCGGUUGUGAAAGCCCCGGGCUCAACCUGGGAACGGCAUCCGGAACUGUCAAGCUAGAGUGCAGGAGAGGAAGGUAGAAUUCCCGGUGUAGCGGUGAAAUGCGUAGAGAUCGGGAGGAAUACCAGUGGCGAAGGCGGCCUUCUGGACUGACACUGACACUGAGGUGCGAAAGCGUGGGUAGCAAACAGGAUUAGAUACCCCGGUAGUC